CCUACGGGAGGCAGCAGUAAGGAAUAUUGCACAAUGGAGGAAACUCUGAUGCAGCCAUGCCGCGUGCAGGAAGACUGCCCUAUGGGUUGUAAACUGCUUUUCUACAAGAAGAAACCCCAGUACGUGUACUGGCUUGACGGUAUUGUAGGAAUAAGCACCGGCUAACUCCGUGCCAGCAGCCGCGGUAAUACGGAGGGUGCAAGCGUUAUCCGGAUUUAUUAGGUUUAAAGGGUCCGCAGGCGGAAUAUUAAGUCAGUGGUGAAAGCCUACAGCUCAACUGUAGAACUGCCAUUGAUACUGAUAUUCUUGAGUGUGGUUGAAGUGAGCGGAAUAUGUCAUGUAGCGGUGAAAUGCAUAGAUAUGACAUGGAACACCAAUUGCGAAGGCAGCUCACUAAGCCAUUACUGACGCUCAUGGACGAAAGCGUGGGGAGCGAACAG
rnacentral:rRNA from 1 species